rnacentral:tRNA from 1 species
GCCCGGGUAGUUCAAUCUGGAUAGAACGCGUCCCUCCUAAGGACGAGGUUGAGGGUUCGAAUCCCUCCUUGGGCG